UCCUGCUUAGCUCAGUUGGUUAGAGCAUCUGACUGUUUAUCAGAGGGUCGUAGGUUCAAGUCCUACAGCAGGAG
rnacentral:tRNA from 1 species